rnacentral:rRNA from 1 species
AGUGAACGCUGGCGGUAGGCCUAACACAUGCAAGUCGAACGGCAGCACAGUAAGAGCUUGCUCUUACGGGUGGCGAGUGGCGGACGGGUGAGGAAUACAUCGGAAUCUACUUUUUCGUGGAGGAUAUCGUAGGGAAACUUACGCUAAUACCGCAUACGACCUACGGGUGAAAGCAGGGGAUCUUCGGACCUUGCGCGAUUGAAUGAGCCGAUGUCGGAUUAGCUAGUUGGCGGGGUAAAGGCCCACCAAGGCGACGAUCCGUAGCUGGUCUGAGAGGAUGAUCAGCCACACUGGAACUGAGACACGGUCCAGACUCCUACGGGAGGCAGCAGUGGGGAAUAUUGGACAAUGGGCGCAAGCCUGAUCCAGCCAUACCGCGUGGGUGAAGAAGGCCUUCGGGUUGUAAAGCCCUUUUGUUGGGAAAGAAAAGCAGCAGGUUAAUACCCCGCUGUUCUGACGGUACCCAAAGAGUAAGCACCGGCUAACUUCGUG